rnacentral:rRNA from 1 species
AGAGUUUGAUCAUGGCUCAGAAUCAACGCUGGCGGCGUGCCUAACACAUGCAAGUCGAGUGCGCGGUUGUAGCAAUACAACUGGCGCACGGCGCACGGGUGCGUAACACGUGGGCAAUCUGCCCUUCGAUGGGGAAUAACUCCGGGAAACCGAAGCUAAUUCCGCAUAACAUUCCUUGGACUUCGGUUCGAGGAUUCAAAGCCGUAAGGCGUCGGAGGAGGAGCCCGCGCACGAUUAGCUAGUUGGUAGGGUAACGGCCUACCAAGGCUUUGAUCGUUAGCUGGUCUGAGAGGAUGGCCAGCCACACUGGAACUGAGACACGGUCCAGACUCCUACGGGAGGCAGCAGUGGGGAAUCUUGCACAAUGGGCGAAAGCCUGAUGCAGCGACGCCGCGUGGGGGAUGAAGCAUCUCGGUGUGUAAACCCCUUUCGACCCGGACGAAUGCCUCGCAAGAGGAGUGACGGUACGGGUAUAAGAAGCCCCGGCUAACUACGUGCCAGCAGCCGCGGUAAGACGUAGGGGGCCAGCGUUGUUCGGAAUUACUGGGUGUAAAGGGUUCGUAGGCGGUGUGGCAAGUUGGGAGUGAAAUCCCUGGGCUCAACCCAGAGGCUGCUUCCAAAACUGCCAUGCUUGAGUGUGGGAGAGGCGCGUGGAAUUGCAGGUGUAGCGGUGAAAUGCGUAGAUAUCUGCAGGAACACCCGUGGCGAAAGCGGCGCGCUGGACCACAACUGACGCUGAGGAACGAAAGCUAGGGGAGCAAACAGGAUUAGAUACCCUGGUAGUCCUGGCCCUAAACGAUCAGGACUUGGGGUGCCGCACGUUCGUGCGUCGUCCCGGAGCUAACGCGUUAAGUCCUGCACCUGGGGAGUACGGUCGCAAGACUGAAACUCAAAGGAAUUGAC